rnacentral:rRNA from 1 species
UACAGAGGGGGCAAGCGUUGUUCGGAAUUACUGGGCGUAAAGGGCGCGUAGGCGGCCUGCUAAGUCGAACGUGAAAUCCCUGGGCUCAACCCAGGAACUGCGUCCGAUACUGGUUGGCUUGAAUCCGGGAGAGGGACGUGGAAUUCCAGGUGUAGCGGUGAAAUGCGUAGAUAUCUGGAGGAACACCGGUGGCGAAGGCGGCUUCCUGGACCGACACUGACGCUGAGGCGCGAAAGCUAGGGGAGCAAACGGG